CCCUUAGAUGUUCUGGGCCGCACGCGCGUUACACUGAUGCAUUCAACGAGCUUAUAACCUUGGCCGAGAGGCCUGGGCAAUCUUGUUAACGUGCAUCGUGAUAGGGAUAGAUUAUUGAAAUUAUUAAUCUUGAACGAGGAAUUCCUAAUAAACGCAGAUCAUCAAUCUGCAUUGAUUACGUCCCUGCCCUUUGUACACACCGCCCGUCGCACCUACCGAUUGGAUGGUCCGGUGAAGCCUCGGGAUUGUGGUUCUUGCCGCUUUAUUGUGGCGUGACCGCGAGAACUUGUCUAAACCUUAUCAUCUAGAGGAAGGUGAAGUCGUAACA
rnacentral:rRNA from 1 species